ACAUACGACCAUACCCACUGGAGAACUCGGGAUCCCGUCCGCUCUCCCAUAGAUAAGACAGUGAGGGCCGGAGUAGUAGUCGGGUCGGUGACGACCGGCGAAUUCCCGGUGUUGUAUGUU
rnacentral:rRNA from 1 species